UGAAAGCAACUUGCUUUGGAAAUGACCUACCGCUACCCAUUGUCUGAGACUGAGAUUAUCUCAGACUGUCUUCUGGCUUCUGCCAAAACACUCCCUUAACAGAAAGCACCGAGGGGAUGGGGGUAGGGGGGUUGGGGAGGGUGAGGCUUGAGUGUGAAGGAAGUCUCAUAUAUGCAGAGCUGAAAUCUCCCUCUUUGUAUGUCCACACUUUUGUCUUGUUCUCUAGACUGAUUCUUGCUAUUCCAAAUCCUCUUCCACGUUGACAGCCCUUCAGAUAUUUCAACACUCCUCUCAGCAUCCUCCACUUCCCCCAUCUCUCCAAGCUGAACUUGGUUCACAGGGUGGGAUUGUGUAUGUGCAUGCAGGAGGUGGGGGUGGACAGUGCCCUGGGCUGGAAUCCCCCUUAGUUCUAAGUGCCUCCUUGCCCGCAGCUUCGAGAGCUGUGCCCAGGAGUGAACAACCAGCCCUAUCUCUGUGAGAGUGGUCACUGCUGCGGGGAGACUGGCUGCUGCACCUACUACUAUGAGCUCUGGUGGUUCUGGCUGCUCUGGACUGUCCUCAUCCUCUUUAGCUGCUGUUGCGCCUUCCGCCACCGACGAGCUAAACUCAGGCUGCAACAACAGCAGCGGCAGCGUGAAAUCAACUUGUUGGCCUAUCAUGGGGCAUGCCAUGGGGCUGGUCCUUUCCCUACCGGUUCACUGCUUGACCUUCGCCUCCUCAGCACCUUCAAGCCCCCAGCCUAUGAGGAUGUGGUUCACCGCCCAGGCACACCACCCCCGCCUUAUACUGUGGCCCCAGGCCGCCCCUUGACUGCUUCCAGUGAACAAUCCUGCUGUUCCUCCUCAUCCAGCUGCCCUGCCCACUUUGAAGGAACAAAUGUGGAAGGUGUUUCCUCCCACCAGAGUGCCCCCCAUCAUCA
rnacentral:sRNA from 1 species